ACCGGCAGGGAAAGAAACCUGCGGCUCUUGCUUUUCAUGGCGGAAAACGGUAUACUAUGCAUUGCCGUUUGCGCGAUGAGGAUUGGGUCCUGUGCGAUCCUCCGGUGUGAACCCUGUCAGGUCCUGACGGAAGCAGCAGUAAGCGCUUGCGAGGAUGUGCUGCAGGGGUGCCCGGUCUGAGCGCAGGCGGUUUUUUUUCUGUUCCGGG
rnacentral:misc_RNA from 1 species